UACGUAGGGUGCGAGCGUUAAUCGGAAUUACUGGGCGUAAAGCGUGCGCAGGCGGUUUUGUAAGUCUGUCGUGAAAGCCCCGGGCUCAACCUGGGAAUUGCGAUGGAUACUGCAAGGCUUGAAUCUGGCAGAGGGGGGUAGAAUUCCACGUGUAGCAGUGAAAUGCGUAGAGAUGUGGAGGAACACCGAUGGCGAAGGCAGCCCCCUGGGUCAAGAUUGACGCUCAUGCACGAAAGCGUGGGGAGCAAACAGG
rnacentral:rRNA from 1 species